AAGCGCCCACUGAAUAUUUCGAAAUAUCAAAAUCUCGUAAGCAAAGUAAUACAAUAUAAUACUAAUACCUUUGAAAUCCAAAAGAAAGAGAGAGAAGUAAUUCGAACCAUUAUUAAAUUCUGUUAAGAAUCUGGAAGGUUCUCCUUUCCACUAAGAUUUUAGUCAUAUCCAAGUGAGAAUCUGCUCUCGUAGAUUUUGCUUAGUUCAUACAGAUUGUUGUUUACCCAGAAAAUUUCUUCUAUCUGCUUUGUGCCCAACAGCCAUGGAAACAGUCCUCAAUUGGGAAAAUUACAAAAUGUGUGCAGCAAAAAACAUGGGAGAAUCUGUCAGACAGUCAUUAGACCAUCCCAACACCUUUGACGGAGCUGAGAACGAUCAUCUACGGCGGCCAUGAACCCGAAGGCCAUGAGUGCUGUUAAUCACGCUCUGGUCAAAUGGCCACGUGUCAUCAACCAGACUUAGUUUCCUGUCUCCUUAGAACUCAAGGAUACAGUGAUACGAGCCUAUAGAACAGAUCCUGUUCAAGUAAGGUCGUGACAUUCCGUGUCACGACUCUUGCUUAAGUAGCAAUUUCCAGCAUAGUGUUCUGCCGAUGUGGGACAAGGAGCAACUACAGGUACAAUUUUUAUGACAAGAAAAAAGGGAGAAGUUUUGCUUGGAUUUGAAGUCAUUAUACCAUCUCACCUAUGCCUCACAAAACUCGGCCUAUGGCAACUCUUCUGCUCUUUACAGGGCUAAAUGUUGUUCUGGUCUGAACAAUAACUCCUGUCUUAUUGGGAAAGAAGAGUAAGACACUUAUUUUGCCUUUAUCCCUAUGAAGAUGAAAAAUAGUUCUGCCUUUCAGCAGUGUCUUACAUCUUUUACGUUUCAUCAUUGGAUCGCGUCUUCUGGCCAUGCUAUUGUGCCCGACGCAAAAUUCAUUAAAGUCACAAAAACUCUUGAUGGUUACUCUUGUUUUGAUGAACCUUACAGUUAUCAUCAUCAUCAUCAUCAUCUUCGUCAUUUUCCGUAUUCAGUAGAUUGAAUAUGUUGUUGUUGUAGUAGAUUGAGUAGAGGGUCGUUUCUAUUUCCUAUCAAAAGUGGCCUUGAAAUGGAUUUUAUCUUUAAUUUUCACCUAACUUUUCCAUAACCCUGUAACUCAAAUCUGAUUUAUGUCUCUUCAAUGCUCUACUUUCAGUAGUCCUUUUAUGCCCCUGCUUUUGUUCUCCUUCUCUUUUUUGGAGAUUGCCAUGUUACUGGUGACUAUCUUUUUGUCAUCUAUGCCAGAGAGAACGUCGACAUCAGGAACAUGAAACCGUGUUGAGAGGUUAAUCAUCAGUGUAAUUGGGAUAUCGAGGUUGAGGAUUUUGUUUAGUUUAAUUUGGUCAUAAGAAAACGGACUUAUAGAGGAAGUUGGAGAACUAAUGAGCAUCUGGUUUUAUUGCGUACACGAGUUUCUGUUGUUUCCUUGGUAGAUAUAAAAGCUGAGCACAUGUAUUAAGCAUUAUACGUGGAACGAAAAUGAAGACAAAGAUGAUGUAGAUGUCUCUUAUUAGCUGAUAACUUAGAUUGCUUGAGGAACCUUUGUUUUGUUAUCUUUACUUGGUGAUUGUUGCUGUCAAACACUAUUGAUUUGGAUGUAAUAAGAAUAGAAAGAUCUGAAGGA